rnacentral:rRNA from 1 species
UGGGGGAUAUUGCACAAUGGGCGAAAGCCUGAUGCAGCGACGCCGCGUGGGGGAUGAAGGCCUUCGGGUUGUAAACUUCUUUUGCUCUGAACAAGGCGCACCAUGGGGUGUGUUGAGUGUAGGGGUUGAUUAGCGCCGGCUAACUACGUGCCAGCAGCCGCGGCAAUACGUAGGGCGCGAGCGUUGUCCGGAAUUAUUGGGCGUAAAGGGCUUGUAGGUGGCUGGUUGCGUCUGUCGUGAAAGCUCAUGGCUUAACUGUGGGUUUGCGGUGGGUACGGGCUGGCUUGAGUGCAGUAGGGGAGGCUGGAAUUCCUGGUGUAGCGGUGGAAUGCGCAGAUAUCAGGAGGAAUACCGGUGGCGAAGGCGGGUCUCUGGGCUGUUACUGACACUGAGGAGCGAAAGCAUGGGGAGCGAACAGG